UUGAACGCUGGCGGCAUGCCUUACACAUGCAAGUCGCACGGUAACAGGUCUUCGGAUGCUGACGAGUGGCGAACGGGUGAGUAAUACAUCGGAACGUGCCCGAUCGUGGGGGAUAACGAAGCGAAAGCUUUGCUAAUACCGCAUAAGAUCUACGGAUGAAAGCAGGGGACCGCAAGGCCUUGCGCGAACGGAGCGGCCGAUGGCAGAUUAGGUAGUUGGUGGGAUAAAAGCUUACCAAGCCGACGAUCUGUAGCUGGUCUGAGAGGACGACCAGCCACACUGGGACUGAGACACGGCCCAGACUCCUACGGGAGGCAGCAGUGGGGAAUUUUGGACAAUGGGCGAAAGCCUGAUCCAGCCAUGCCGCGUGCAGGAUGAAGGCCUUCGGGUUGUAAACUGCUUUUGUACGGAACGAAAAGACUCUGGUUAAUACCUGGGGUCCAUGACGGUACCGUAAGAAUAAGCACCGGCUAACUACGUG
rnacentral:rRNA from 1 species